AAUAGCAGCAUAAUCACCAUGUAGCCUGAUGUUGUCUGAUUUCAGAAGCUAAGUAAGGCUGGGCUUGGGCUGUAUUGGGAUGGCAGACCUCUUAGGAAAACCUGGUUGCUGCUGUAA
rnacentral:rRNA from 1 species